CUCCAUAACACACUUCGACGAGGCUCUCGGGCCCACUUACGUUCUCAAAUAUGUUAUAUGUCCCUACUGACGAGCUCACCGGACGCGGAGAGGAAGCGGCAGAGGCAAAGGGUUCCCGUCAGCCCAACGUAACGCUUUACCACGGAGACUCGCGGAGAUGGACGCACGCAGGGCCCUGUGUCGCACAACGCGCUUACAUCGCCGAUGCGUGGACGCAGAAGUGAAGCUACUCGGUUAGGAGCAGGAAGAUGCAUCUCAAUGUAUUUCUUCCGCCUCCCUCAGUCCUAAGAUACACCAAGUACUCUUCCGCCUGCCUCUCUGAUCACCUUGGCUGCAGCGGUCCAGUCUUCUGGAAGCUCCUCCCGUCCACUGAGAGCCUGUCUCACCUCUUCCCGAAAAGCUGCACAACACUCGUCCACCACAUGGUUCUCUGGUCUGCCUUUGUCUUCCUAAUCUUCCUCCCCACCACCAGAGUCAUUUUACACACCACCAUCCUAUGCUGUCUAGCCACACUUCCCCCUACCACUACCUUACAUUCGGUAACCUUCAGAUUACAUCGUCUGCACAAGAUGUAAUCCACCUGCGUGCUUCUACCUCCGCUCAUGUAGAUCACCCUAUGUUCCUGCCUCUCCUGGAAAAAAGUGUUCACUACAGCCAUUUGCAUCCUUGUUGCAAAGUCUACCACCAUCUGUCCCUCCAAGUUCCUUUCCUGGAUGCCGUACUUACCCAUCAUUUCUUCAUCACCCCUGUUUCCUUCACCAACAUGUCCAUUACAAUCUGCGCCAAUCACGACUCUCUCUCUGUCUGGGACGCUCAGAACUACUUCGUCUAGCUCCUUCCAGAAUUUUUCUUUCACCUCUAGGUCACAUCCUACCUGCGGGGCACAGCCGCUAAUCACAUUAUACAUAACACCCUCAAUUUCAAGUUUCAGCCUAAUCAUUCGAUCUGACACUCCUUUCACGUACAAGACAUUCUUAGCCAACUCUUCUUUUAAAAUAAUCCCGAGUCCUUUUCUCUUCCAAUCUACACCAUGGUAAAAUAAUUGAAACCCUGCCCCUAAACUUGUUUGCACUGGCUUGUGCCCCCCAUAGGGCUGCAUUCCUUUAGUUUGAACACAUUGAACAGUUGCAGUCCUACGAGGAAUAAUUGUCUUAUUCCUAGUCAGCUGGUCUAAGCUCAUAAAUGCACAGCCAUAAACCUAAUAAAGUAUAUAAAUAUGCUAGCCGCUUAAGUGAAGAUGCACAGAGGCUGUUAAUACUUGUUUUUGUUUUUUUAAUGCCUGAUGUUUUAACCACAAUGUCCAUCCUUCCCUCCAUUUUCUGCACCGCCUAUCCUCACUAGGGUCGCGGCCGUGCUGGAGCCUAUCCCAGCUAUCUUCGGGCGAGAGGCGGUGUACGCCCUGAACAGGCCGCCAGUCAAUCGCAGGGCACAUAUAGACAAACAACCAUUUGCACUCACAUUGACAACUACGGACAAGUCCUCAAUUAACCUACCACGCAUGUUUUUUGGGAUGUGGGAGGAAACCGGAGUACCCGGAGAAAACCCACGCGGGCACAGGGAGAACAUGCAAACUCCACACAGGUGAAGCCAAACUUGAACCCAGGUCCUCAGGACUGUGAGGCAAAUGUGCUAACCAGUCGCCUGACCUUUAUGCACAAUGUGGAUUUAAGAUAUAAAAACCGUUGAUUAUAGAAAACAAUUUGGGCGUAUGUUAUGAAGUAAAAGCUCUUAUUUCCUUUUUUGAAUUCAUAAUUGCACCAACAAUGCACCCCGGCAGUUACAAGGGUCCCCCACCCGAGGCGCUCGCCAUCUGUACGAGGGGCCAUUGGGGUCGAGUGCUGUGUGUGAGCUGGGUGGUGGCGAUGCGAUCCCCGGCUACAGAAGCUGGCUCUAGGGACGUGAAACCUCACCAUGAAAGACAGUAGCAUGUUCUACUACCUUACCAGCACAAUUGUGGCUUCAUCAGGCUGUUUUACAAUCACAUUUGUAUUUCUUUUCUUUCACAUACCACUUGCAUCAAACUGCUGUGGAUAUUGCACUAGUGCUGUAUUUUCCUUCACCAGAAGAGUUCACCGCAGAGCUGGCUAAUGUCAUCUUGCUUGCAUCUACACUGUACAGCAGAGGAGGACAAGUACUUUUUCCAAAGGAGCCAUUCAAGGAACUUUAAUGGCUGCCGAGGGCCACACCAAAAUGCUAGUCCAUUGUGUUCCACAUUAAUUGAAUUAAUUGUAUUGUUUUAAUAAGCCGCUACUUGUGUAGAUGUGGUACUGUAGGUUGUUAUAAUUGGGGAAAACAUUUUUGUUUAAAAAAAUUAUAAGCAGUCCUUAAAAAUAUGUAUCUAAACAAAUAAACAUUUCAUA